rnacentral:rRNA from 1 species
UUAAGCGACUAAGCGUACACGGUGGAUGCCCUGGCAGUCAGAGGCGAUGAAGGACGUGCUAAUCUGCGAUAAGCGUCGGUAAGGUGAUAUGAACCGUUAUAACCGGCGAUUUCCGAAUGGGGAAACCCAGUGUGAUUCGUCACACUAUCAUUAACUGAAUCCAUAGGUUAAUGAGGCGAACCGGGGGAACUGAAACAUCUAAGUACCCCGAGGAAAAGAAAUCAACCGAGAUUCCCCCAGUAGCGGCGAGCGAACGGGGAGCAGCCCAGAGCCUGAAUCAGUGUGUGUGUUAGUGGAAGCGUCUGGAAAGGCGCGCGAUACAGGGUGACAGCCCCGUACACAAAAAUGCACAUGCUGUGAGCUCGAUGAGUAGGGCGGGACACGUGGUAUCCUGUCUGAAUAUGGGGGGACCAUCCUCCAAGGCUAAAUACUCCUGACUGACCGAUAGUGAACCAGUACCGUGAGGGAAAGGCGAAAAGAACCCCGGCGAGGGGAGUGAAAAAGAACCUGAAACCGUGUACGUACAAGCAGUGGGAGCACAGAGCAAUCUGUGUGACUGCGUACCUUUUGUAUAAUGGGUCAGCGACUUAUAUUCUGUAGCAAGGUUAACCGAAUAGGGGAGCCGAAGGGAAACCGAGUCUUAACUGGGCGUUAAGUUGCAGGGUAUAGACCCGAAACCCGGUGAUCUAGCCAUGGGCAGGUUGAAGGUUGGGUAACACUAACUGGAGGACCGAACCGACUAAUGUUGAAAAAUUAGCGGAUGACUUGUGGCUGGGGGUGAAAGGCCAAUCAAACCGGGAGAUAGCUGGUUCUCCCCGAAAGCUAUUUAGGUAGCGCCUCGUGAAUUCAUCUCCGGGGGUAGAGCACUGUUUCGGCAAGGGGGUCAUCCCGACUUACCAACCCGAUGCAAACUGCGAAUACCGGAGAAUGUUAUCACGGGAGACACACGGCGGGUGCUAACGUCCGUCGUGAAGAGGGAAACAACCCAGACCGCCAGCUAAGGUCCCAAAGUCAUGGUUAAGUGGGAAACGAUGUGGGAAGGCCCAGACAGCCAGGAUGUUGGCUUAGAAGCAGCCAUCAUUUAAAGAAAGCGUAAUAGCUCACUGGUCGAGUCGGCCUGCGCGGAAGAUGUAACGGGGCUAAACCAUGCACCGAAGCUGCGGCAGCGACGCUUAUGCGUUGUUGGGUAGGGGAGCGUUCUGUAAGCCUGUGAAGGUGUACUGUGAGGUAUGCUGGAGGUAUCAGAAGUGCGAAUGCUGACAUAAGUAACGAUAAAGCGGGUGAAAAGCCCGCUCGCCGGAAGACCAAGGGUUCCUGUCCAACGUUAAUCGGGGCAGGGUGAGUCGACCCCUAAGGCGAGGCCGAAAGGCGUAGUCGAUGGGAAACAGGUUAAUAUUCCUGUACUUGGUGUUACUGCGAAGGGGGGACGGAGAAGGCUAUGUUGGCCGGGCGACGGUUGUCCCGGUUUAAGCGUGUAGGCUGGUUUUCCAGGCAAAUCCGGAAAAUCAAGGCUGAGGCGUGAUGACGAGGCACUACGGUGCUGAAGCAACAAAUGCCCUGCUUCCAGGAAAAGCCUCUAAGCAUCAGGUAACAUCAAAUCGUACCCCAAACCGACACAGGUGGUCAGGUAGAGAAUACCAAGGCGCUUGAGAGAACUCGGGUGAAGGAACUAGGCAAAAUGGUGCCGUAACUUCGGGAGAAGGCACGCUGAUAUGUAGGUGAAGCGACUUGCUCGUGGAGCUGAAAUCAGUCGAAGAUACCAGCUGGCUGCAACUGUUUAUUAAAAACACAGCACUGUGCAAACACGAAAGUGGACGUAUACGGUGUGACGCCUGCCCGGUGCCGGAAGGUUAAUUGAUGGGGUCAGCGCAAGCGAAGCUCUUGAUCGAAGCCCCGGUAAACGGCGGCCGUAACUAUAACGGUCCUAAGGUAGCGAAAUUCCUUGUCGGGUAAGUUCCGACCUGCACGAAUGGCGUAAUGAUGGCCAGGCUGUCUCCACCCGAGACUCAGUGAAAUUGAACUCGCUGUGAAGAUGCAGUGUACCCGCGGCAAGACGGAAAGACCCCGUGAACCUUUACUAUAGCUUGACACUGAACAUUGAGCCUUGAUGUGUAGGAUAGGUGGGAGGCUUUGAAGUGUGGACGCCAGUCUGCAUGGAGCCGACCUUGAAAUACCACCCUUUAAUGUUUGAUGUUCUAACGUGGACCCGUAAUCCGGGUUGCGGACAGUGUCUGGUGGGUAGUUUGACUGGGGCGGUCUCCUCCUAAAGAGUAACGGAGGAGCACGAAGGUUGGCUAAUCCUGGUCGGACAUCAGGAGGUUAGUGCAAUGGCAUAAGCCAGCUUGACUGCGAGCGUGACGGCGCGAGCAGGUGCGAAAGCAGGUCAUAGUGAUCCGGUGGUUCUGAAUGGAAGGGCCAUCGCUCAACGGAUAAAAGGUACUCCGGGGAUAACAGGCUGAUACCGCCCAAGAGUUCAUAUCGACGGCGGUGUUUGGCACCUCGAUGUCGGCUCAUCACAUCCUGGGGCUGAAGUAGGUCCCAAGGGUAUGGCUGUUCGCCAUUUAAAGUGGUACGCGAGCUGGGUUUAGAACGUCGUGAGACAGUUCGGUCCCUAUCUGCCGUGGGCGCUGGAGAACUGAGGGGGGCUGCUCCUAGUACGAGAGGACCGGAGUGGACGCAUCACUGGUGUUCGGGUUGUCAUGCCAAUGGCACUGCCCGGUAGCUAAAUGCGGAAGAGAUAAGUGCUGAAAGCAUCUAAGCACGAAACUUGCCCCGAGAUGAGUUCUCCCUGACCCUUUAAGGGUCCUGAAGGAACGUUGAAGACGACGACGUUGAUAGGCCGGGUGUGUAAGCGCAGCGAUGCGUUGAGCUAACCGGUACUAAUGAACCGUGAGGCUUAACCUU